rnacentral:rRNA from 1 species
CUUCCUGCACAUAUUGGAAGUCGUGCCUGCCCACUGAAAUUUUAAGGGCCGCGGUAUUUUGACCGUGCAAAGGUAGCAUAAUCAUUAGUCUUUUAAUUGGGGGCUGGAAUGAAAGGUUUGACGAAGCAAUUACUGUCUCAGUAUUAUUAAUUGAAUUUUACUUUUAAGUUAAAAGGCUUAAAUGAUAAUAGGGGACGAGAAGACCCUAUAGAUCUUUAUAAAAAGUGUUGUAUUUUCCUUUUUUGGUGUAAUAUGGUGAAUAUAAUAUUUUUUAUUUCGUUGGGGUGAUGAGAGAAUAUAAUAACUUCUUUAUAUUAUACUUUGAUAGAUGAAUGAAGGAUCCUGUAUUAUGGAAUUAAGAUUAAGAUACCUUAGGGAUAACAGCGUAAUUUUGUUGGAGAGUUCUUAUCGAUAAUGAAGAUUGCGACCUCGAUGUUGGAUUAAGAAUACACCUAGGUGCAGUAGUUUAGGUUGUUGGUCUGUUC